GUGGGGAAUCUUGCGCAAUGGGCGAAAGCCUGACGCAGCCAUGCCGCGUGAAUGAUGAAGGUCUUAGGAAUGUAAAAUUCUUUCACCGGGGACGAUAAUGACGGUACCCGGAGAAGAAGCUCCGGCUAACUUCGUGCCAGCAGCCGCGGUAAUACGAAGGGGGCUAGCGUUGCUCGGAAUUACUGGGCGUAAAGGGCGCGUAGGCGGACAGCUUAGUCAGAGGUGAAAGCCCAGGGCUCAACCUUGGAAUUGCCUUUGAUACUGGCUGUCUUGAGUUUGGGAGAGGUGAGUGGAACUCCGAGUGUAGAGGUGAAAUUCGUAGAUAUUCGGAAGAACACCAGUGGCGAAGGCGACUCACUGGCCCAAUACUGACGCUGAGGCGCGAAAGCGUGGGGAGCAAACAGGAUUAGAAACCCCUGUAGUC
rnacentral:rRNA from 1 species